rnacentral:miRNA from 1 species
AUGAUGGAGGUGCAGGCAUUUCCUGAGGAUUAAUGACCAGCUGGGAGGAACCCUUGGCCCUUGGCUCUGCCUCCCAGCCAGUCAUUCAUUCUAAGGAAAUGUCGUUUGCGGAGGUUGUU